GUGCCAGUCAAGUGCAGUUGCUCUGCUUUGUGCCUUGCAACUGUUGUUAAACCCUGGCAAGAUGACAGCCAGGGUACGAGCCCCUUCAUCUACCCAUGGUGCAUGGGGUCCCUAAUAAUGGCUACAUAC
rnacentral:snoRNA from 11 species